CCAGAAUCUUGCUGCAUCCAAGCUCCAGCUGGCUCACUUGGGAACUCUAGGACUUUGCAUAGACUUUCCCAAGUGUUGAGGAAGUCUCCAAAGGGUGCCUGAUCAAAGCUCUUGUGGGACUGCUGACUGCAAAACUCUUGACCUCUGCUCUGCUGCCAAUUCCCCAUCUGCCUCCAGAGCUGUCAAUCCUACUUCUUUUUCAAGAGUUCAUCAGUCUCUUGUGAAGUGGGAAGACUGUCAGGCCUCAGGAGAAUUGCUUGGAUCCAUGGAACAUUAUAGAACUUACUGCGCCUCCUGUUUCUCUGUGCAAACCUAAGACGCCCAGCCACCGUGUAACCCCAGGGUGCUCAUGUGCCUCCAGGAGAGCUGAGGGGAAAUGGUUCAUGUGCCAGCUGCUGUGACAUACCCAGAACCUGACUCUGCUUACACUCUGAAGGGCAUUCCAGCUGAUCGUGUCCGGUGAUCCAAAUUCAAAGGAAAAAAGAAGGACAUGUAUUUUGACUGAAGCGCUAACAAUCUUCAGUUAAGUGAAGAACCUUAAGUUUCUUGAUGUCAGAAAGAUGGGCUGCUUCUGGGGUCCAGCGGUUGGAUGGAGAGUCAGUGACCACAAGUGAUGCUGAGAGACUCCUCAGGAGGCAAGAGGCGUGUUUAAUCACAAAGAUGAGACCACCUCUGUCCUACAUGGUGUCCUGCAUUGAAUUAGUCAGAUGCUCCUCCUGGGUGUGCCCCUACCAUCUUGAGAUUGCCUCUCAGGUUGGUGGCACUAAAUUCAUCUGUAAUCAAUCUGUUUUUAUAAUUGCCUUUAAAGAUUAAAAAA
rnacentral:lncRNA from 1 species